AUUGAACGCUGGCGGCAGGCCUAACACAUGCAAGUCGAACGAGCGGCGGACGGGUGAGUAAUGUCUGGGAAACUGCCUGAUUGAGGGGGAUAACUACUGGAAACGGUAGCUAAUACCGCAUACCAUCGGAUGUGCCCAGAUGGGAUUAGCUAGUAGGCGGGGUAACGGCUCACCUAGGCGACGAUCCCUAGCUGGGCUGAGAGGAUGACCAGCCACACUGGAACUGGGACACGGUCCAGACUCCUACGGGAGGCAGCAGUGGGGAAUAUUGCACAAUGGGCGCAAGCCUGAUGCAGCCAUGCCGCGUGUAUGAAGAAGGCCUUCGGGUUGUAAAGCACUUUCAGCGGGGAGGCGUUACUCGCAGAAGAAGCACCGGCUAACUCCGUGCCAGCCGCCGCGGUAAUUC
rnacentral:rRNA from 1 species